rnacentral:rRNA from 1 species
GACGAACGCUGGCGGCGUGCUUAACACAUGCAAGUCGAACGGCAAGGCCCUGCUUUUGUGGGGUGCUCGAGUGGCGAACGGGUGAGUAACACGUGAGUAACCUGCCCUUGACUUUGGGAUAACUUCAGGAAACUGGGGCUAAUACCGGAUAGGAGCUCCUGCUGCAUGGUGGGGGUUGGAAAGUUUCGGCGGUUGGGGAUGGACUCGCGGCUUAUCAGCUUGUUGGUGGGGUAGUGGCUUACCAAGGCUUUGACGGGUAGCCGGCCUGAGAGGGUGACCGGCCACAUUGGGACUGAGAUACGGCCCAGACUCCUACGGGGGGCAGCAGUGGGGAAUAUUGCACAAUGGGCGGAAGCCUGAUGCAGCAACGCCGCGUGCGGGAUGACGGCCUUCGGGUUGUAAACCGCUUUCGCCUGUGACGAAGCGUGAGUGACGGUAAUGGGUAAAGAAGCACCGGCUAACUACGUG